GGUGGGCGCCUGUAGGCGCACAGCUGUUGCUGCUGCAGCAGUUGCUGCUGCAGCAGUUGCUGCUGUAGCAGUUGCUGCUGCAGCAGUUGCUGCUGCAGCUGUUGCUGAUGCAGCUGCUGCUGCAGCCAUCGCUGCUGCGGCUACUGCUGCUGCAGCUGAGGUGUUGCUGCAGCAGCAGCUGCUGCAGCAGCAGCUUAUGCAGCAGCAGCAGCUGCUGCUGCGCCAACAAGAGCGCCUGCAGCACAUGCAGUU
rnacentral:sRNA from 1 species